rnacentral:rRNA from 1 species
AUUGAACGCUGGCGGCAGGCCUAACACAUGCAAGUCGAGCGGAUGAGGGAAGCUUGCUUCCCGAUUUAGCGGCGGACGGGUGAGUAAUGCCUAGGAAUCUGCCUAUUAGUGGGGGAUAACGUUCCGAAAGGAACGCUAAUACCGCAUACGUCCUACGGGAGAAAGUGGGGGAUCUUCGGACCUCACGCUAAUAGAUGAGCCUUGGUCGGAUUAGCUAGUUGGUGAGGUAACGGCUCACCAAGGCGACGAUCCGUAGCUGGUCUGAGAGGAUGAUCAGCCACACUGGAACUGAGACACGGUCCAGACUCCUACGGGAGGCAGCAGUGGGGAAUAUUGGACAAUGGGCGAAAGCCUGAUCCAGCCAUGCCGCGUGUGUGAAGAAGGUCUUCGGAUUGUAAAGCACUUUAAGUUGGGAGGAAGAGUUGUAAGCUAAUAUCUUGCAGCUUUGACGUUACCAACAGAAUAAGCACCGGCUAACUCUGUGCCAGCCGCCGCGGUAA